rnacentral:rRNA from 1 species
AACGAACGCUGGCGGCAGGCCUAACACAUGCAAGUCGAACGCUCCGCAAGGGGAGUGGCAGACGGGUGAGUAACACGUGGGAAUCUUCCUGUUGGUGCGGAAUAGCUCAGGGAAACUUGGGGCAAUACCGCAUAAGCCCGAGAGGGGAAAGAUUUAUCGCCGACAGAUGAGCCCGCGUCUGAUUAGCUAGUUGGUGAGGUAACGGCUCACCAAGGCGACGAUCAGUAGCUGGUCUGAGAGGAUGACCAGCCACACUGGGACUGAGACACGGCCCAGACUCCUACGGGGGGCAGCAGUGGGGAAUAUUGGACAAUGGGCGCAAGCCUGAUCCAGCCAUGCCGCGUGAGUGACGAAGGUCUUCGGAUUGUAAAGCUCUUUUGGCGGGGACGAUAAUGACGGUACCCGCAGAAUAAGCCCCGGCUAACUUCGUGCCAGCCGCCGCCGUAACAC